rnacentral:lncRNA from 1 species
CCAGUUCAAGCCAUAGCAUCCAUUAGCUUCUCAUUCCCUCCCCGACUGCAAUUCGGAAAACUUACCAGGAAUGCUGGUGUCAGCAAAGACUGCUGGUUCUAGCUCGCCUGGAGCUGGCGGAAACCAUCCAACGUCUGCAUUUUUCUCACUGGCUCUAAGGUGGUGGAAACGUAACACAGAGCAAGCAGAGGCCAGCUCUGCACCGCAGCCUCCCAGAGCACGCCAGGACGGAGGGCUCAACRCUGGCCACCACUGCCACCACCAUGCAAGAAGCACCAGCAAUCAGCCCAGUCCCUCCACCUGCCACCAAAGGCAGAGCCUUUUCUCUUGCAAUGUUAAUUACUUAAUGUGAGCCAGAUGGUGUUAAACGGCACCAAACCAACCCCCCUGUCAGGUGGAUUUCUCCAGUUGAGCACUGCAAGGACAGAUUUGCAUCGCRAGGAAGGCAGAAGCUCUGUGUAAGCCCAUCUCAACUCAAAGCCUUGAUAUUGCAGGCACUCUCUGGUGUCAGUGGUGCUCUGAAAGAUUUGGGAGCAAAAGCUGAACAGAGACAAGGACGAAGGGGGUUAUCAAAUGCAGGUAACACAGCCCCAAGAUCUCACUUUG